rnacentral:rRNA from 1 species
UACGUAGGUGGCAAGCGUUGUCCGGAUUUAUUGGGUUUAAAGGGUGCGUAGGCGGUCUUAUAAGUCAGUGGUGAAAUACGGCAGCUCAACUGUCGAGGUGCCAUUGAUACUGUAGGACUUGAGUACAGACGAGGUAGGCGGAAUUGACGGUGUAGCGGUGAAAUGCUUAGAUAUCGUCAAGAACACCGAUAGCGAAGGCAGCUUACUAGGCUGUAACUGACGCCGAGGCACGAAAGUGUGGGGAUCAAACAGG